UAGAGAUAUACUGCAGCUAUGCUAAAGCUAUAGAAAAGAAUGUAGUCCUGUAGGCAUGCUGUGUGUGCUGUAUUUCUCUCCCAACGCACACAGCUGUCAGAGUCAAGUAUGAGGAGAGGUCCACCUGCCCUCCAGGAGAAAAAACAGACUGGUGCUGGUCCUGGUGUCAGUGGAGGCUGAAGGACAUUGGGCGGUGGUGGAUUCCCUGGCUCAUACCAUGUCUUCCUUUAAGGGGUCCUUUGGAGUGACAUUGGUGAGUUUGACUCUGCCCUAGUCCCUCUCCUCCAACUCUUUGUUUUUCCUGUCACGAACCUCGCCCUCCUGAUGGUAGCCUACCAUCAGCUGGUAGACCAUCACACCAAUGGACGAACCCAGGAACGGGGCAAAGAUGGGUAUGAGGAACCAGCCCUGACGAGUACUGUGAGGAAAAGACAGUGGAUGAGUGUUUGUGAAGGUGCCAUGUGUUGUGUGGCAUCUCAACUCAGUGGAACAUCCUAAUUUCACACCAGUGGGCCGGUUUGCUUCCUGAAAGGCACAGAUAUACAAGGGGGGGGCAAGGUAGCCCCAUCCCUUCAGACGAACCAGGUGUGAAAACAGAUAAAUCAACAAGUAACAAUGACCUUUGUUGGAUUAACUGCACUGUUGUUUGGUUUUUUGAUGUGUGUCCCAUGAAGAGAUUAACUCUCCAAUAUGUUUCAAUGCUGUACAUGUUAUGUAUCUUUUGUUACAGGUAAAUGUUUACUGGAUGAAGAAUCCUGCAAGUUUCUAGCUUUGGUUGGUGCUAACUGAAUAUGUAUGAAUGUGUGAAUGACAGUUUCUUUGUUUUCAUUGUUUUAGCCAAAGUUAGGUGAUCCUAUUAUAGAUGCAAUGGGGGAGUUUUGAAUUGGUCUACCUAGUAGGGAUCAAAAGUUGUACUUACUUUUUGGAGUCUAUCGUUAACGGAUGUGUGUUUUAGAUACUUAUGGUGUACUUAGAAGACUUAAAUACAAAAUGGGGGACGUUGAAUAUUGCUUGUAUGUGACUACGUUUUCUAUUGUAACUGUAUUACUUGAUUGGAAUAAGUUGUAUUGCUUUCAAAUAUAGAUUGCGACGGCAUUCCUCAUUUAUCUUCAAUUUCUGAAAAGAGGCAUUGAGGAUUUGCAUAGGCCGAGAAACACAUUACUUUAUCAUUCUAGGUUUGUGAUGUAAGAUUAGCUACCAUGACUAUAUCCUACCUGCAUAUUAUGGUCACUUACGAUCACAUAUUUUCACUAAAAGCUCAUUUACAUAUUGUUAUAGUUCAAAAAGUAUAAAUGCUAUUAAUUUUUUUUUUUAAGAAUCUAAUCUGGAGCCUUCUACACAUUUACAAGAUGCAUUUGUGAACGGGUGUGAAGACUUGAAGAGGGAACUAAAAUACUUUGGAGAGGUGUGAAGGAUUCGGGGGUGACUCACGUGAAUACUUCCC